rnacentral:rRNA from 1 species
UACGUAGGUGGCAAGCGUUGUCCGGAUUUACUGGGUGUAAAGGGCGUGUAGGCGGAGCUGCAAGUCAGAUGUGAAAUCCCGGGGCUCAACCCCGGAACUGCAUUUGAAACUGUAGCCCUUGAGUAUCGGAGAGGCAGGCGGAAUUCCUAGUGUGGCGGUGAAAUGCGUAGAUGUUAGGAGGAACACCAGUGGCGAAGGCGGCCUGCUGGACGACAACUGACGCUGAGGCGCGAAAGCGUGGGGAGCAAACAGG